rnacentral:sRNA from 1 species
GGGUUGUCGACACGUUCAACCCGUUCUGCUGGCUCGAGAACGAAGUAGGCCGUCUCGCUCUGGGUCUCCAGGCCCGCGACCGUCCGCCAGUCGUCCCGAGAAUCUCCGGCCUGUGAAACCGUGAGGGGAUUCGGCCAAGACGUCCUUCCCUCUGCCUCCCACCCAGGCCACUCUUCACCUCCACCAUGAGCCUGGACAUCCAGAGCCUGGACAUCCAGUGUGAGGAGCUGAGCGACGCUAGAUGGGCCGAGCUCCUCCCUCUGCUCCAGCAGUGCCAAGUGGUCAGGCUGGACGACUGUGGCCUCACGGAAGCACGGUGCAAGGACAUCAGCUCUGCACUUCGAGUCAACCCUGCACUGGCAGAGCUCAACCUGCGCAGCAACGAGCUGGGCGAUGUCGGCGUGCAUUGCGUGCUCCAGGGCCUGCAGAGCCCCUCCUGCAAGAUCCAGAAGCUGAGCCUCCAGAACUGCUGCCUGACGGGGGCCGGCUGCGGGGUCCUGUCCAGCACACUACGCACCCUGCCCACCCUGCAGGAGCUGCACCUCAGCGACAACCUCUUGGGGGAUGCGGGCCUGCAGCUGCUCUGCGAAGGACUCCUGGACCCCCAGUGCCGCCUGGAAAAGCUGCAGUGAGUUUGUGUCCUGCCCCAGGGCCCAUGCUGGCCGCUGCUUGUCCCCCAGCCAGCCCCCUACAUAGAACAUCGCCUGCCAGGAGCCGUGAGGAGGGGACUCAGGUCACAGGGGCCUUGUGGUGCUCUCCUUUCCCCAUGAUGCUGGGUCUGGGGCCUUGUGGUGCUCUCCUCUCCCCAUGAUGCUGGGGCUGGGGGGAUCUGUCAUCACCCUCCCUCCCCAUCCAGUUGUCCUUUGCAAGGCACAGCUGCCCCAGGACCUGACGGUGGGAACAGAUGCGUGGCCGUGAGUCAGGUUCCACUCACCGCCUCAGUGUGUGUGGGGGACCCGGCCAUUGUGAGUUGACCACAGCCUGGGACGUGCAGGUGGCCCUGCCCUCCAGAGGCUGGUUUCUUUCUCCCGGGCCUGGUUGGGCCCCAAAGUCUGAG